UAAAAUCUUAGUGGCGGACGGGUGAGUAACGCGUGGGUAACCUGCCUUACACUGGGGGAUAACACUUAGAAAUAGGUGCUAAUACCGCAUAAGCGCACGAAGCCGCAUGGAUUUGUGUGAAAAACUACGGUGGUGUAAGAUGGACCCGCGUCUGAUUAGCUUGUUGGCGGGGUAACGGCCCACCAAGGCGACGAUCAGUAGCCGGCCUGAGAGGGUGGACGGCCACAUUGGGACUGAGACACGGCCCAAACUCCUACGGAAGGCAGCAG
rnacentral:rRNA from 1 species